rnacentral:lncRNA from 1 species
AAAAGUGAUUUCUUCGUUUUAAUAUGUCACGUUACAUAUAUACUCUCAUAAAGAAACUUUCUCAUUCUUUUCAGCCGAAAUCUUUUAUCAACAUUGCCAAAAUACCUAUUUGAUCUUCCCCUUAAAGUUUUGGUCGUCAGUAAUAAUAAACUAGUAUCCAUUCCGGAAGAAAUUGGGAAGUUAAAAGAUUUAAUGGAGUUGGAUAUUAGCUGCAAUGAGAUUCAAGUCCUUCCCCAACAAAUGGGAAAAUUACAUUCACUUAGAGAGCUAAAUAUAAGAAGAAAUAAUCUUCAUGUUUUGCCAGAUGGUAAGAUGUUCACUAUUUUUACUCACAUGAAUAAGAGAGUAACUAUGUAAAAUUUAAUUAAUUAUUUUUCAUUUCUGACCAGAAUUAGGAGAUCUUCCCUUAGUCAAGCUGGAUUUCUCUUGUAAUAAAGUGACCGAAAUUCCAGUUUGUUACAGAAAGCUGCAUCAUUUACAAGUAAUAAUUUUGGAUAACAAUCCAUUGCAAGUACCACCAGCACAGGUUUGUAAUAAAAAUAUUUUACAUGUUUCUUCUCAUUUUUAUUCAUAAUUUUAUCUGUUUGUGACUGGUAAAUCAAAAAG